rnacentral:rRNA from 1 species
UACGUAGGGUGCGAGCGUAAUCGGAAUUACUGGGCGUAAAGUGUGCGCAGGCGGCAGAGCAAGUCGAGUGUGAAAGCCCCGGGCUUAACUUGGGAAUUGCGCUCGAAACUACUUUGCUGGAGUGUGGCAGAGGAAGGUGGAAUUCCACGUGUAGCGGUGAAAUGCGUAGAGAUGUGGAGGAACACCAAUGGCGAAGGCAGCCUCCUGGGCCAGCACUGACGCUGAG